rnacentral:tRNA from 1 species
UGGAGGCGGGUGCAGGAGUCGAACCUGCCGAUACCAUGCUAAUGAGACAUGUGAGACGCCAUUUCUCUAUACCCGC